rnacentral:rRNA from 1 species
UUCUGGUUGAUCCUGCCGGACCUGACUGCUAUCGGAUUGAUACUAAGCCAUGCGAGUCUUUGCAGUAAUGCAAGGCGGACUGCUCAGUAACACGUAGUCAACUUAACCUAUGGAUGGGUAUAACCUCGGGAAACUGAGAAUAAUUCCCAAUAGAUCAUUUAUCCUGGAAUGGUUAGUGAUUGAAAUGAUUCGUCGCCAUAGGAUAGGACUGCGGCCUAUCAGCUUGUUGGUGAGGUAAAGGCCCACCAAGGCUAUUACAGGUACGGGCUCUGAGAGAAGAAGCCCGGAGAUGGGUACUGAGACACGGACCCAGGCCCUAUGGGGCGCAGCAGGCGAGAAAACUUUGCAAUGUGCGAAAGCACGACAAGGUUAAUCCGAGUGAUUUCUGCUAAAGAAAUCUUUUGCCAGUUCUAAAAAUACUGGUGAAUAAGGGGUGGGCAAGUUCUGGUGCCAGCAGCCGCGGUAAU